rnacentral:rRNA from 1 species
UACAGAGACUGCAAGCGUUGUUCGGAUUCAUUGGGCGUAAAGGGUGCGUAGGCGGCGCGGUAAGUCGGGUGUGAAAUCUCGGGGCUUAACUCCGAAACUGCAUUCGAUACUGCCGUGCUUGAGGACUGGAGAGGAGACUGGAAUUUACGGUGUAGCGGUGAAAUGCGUAGAUAUCGUAAGGAAGACCAGUGGCGAAGGCGGGUCUCUGGACAGUUCCUGACGCUGAGGCACGAAGGCCAGGGGAGCAAACGGG